GACGAACGCUGGCGGCGCGCUUAACACAUGCAAGUCGAACGGAAAGGCCUGCUUUCCCUUGUGGAUUGCGGGUACUCGAGUGGCGAACGGGUGAGUAACACGUGAGUGAUCUGCCCCCAACUUGGGUAUAAGCCUGGGAAACUGGGUCUAAUUCCCGAUAGGACUGCAGGGUGGUGCCUUUGGUGGAAAACGAUUUUCUAGUGGUUGGGGAUGAGCUCGCGGCCUAUCAGCUUGUUGGAGGGGUAAUGGCCUACCAAGGCGGCGACGGGUAGCCGGCCUGGGAGGGGGGACGGCCAAAUUGAGACUGAGAUACGGCCAAGACUACUACGGGAGGAAGCAGUGGGGAAGACUGCACAAUGGGCGGAAGCCUGAUGCAGCGACGCAGCGUGGGGGAUGACGGCCUCCGGGUAGUACACUCCUUUCGACCGCGAGGAAGCCACCUGGUUGGAAGGGUGGUGACGGUAGUGGUAGAAGAAGCACCGGCUAACUACGUG
rnacentral:rRNA from 1 species